rnacentral:rRNA from 1 species
AAAUCCGGUACUCGUUAAGGCUGAGCUGUGAUGGGGAGAAGACAUUGUGUCUUCGAGUCGUUGAUUUCACACUGCCGAGAAAAGCCUCUAGAUAGAAAAUAGGUGCCCGUACCGCAAACCGACACAGGUAGUCAAGAUGAGAAUUCUAAGGUGAGCGAGCGAACUCUCGUUAAGGAACUCGGCAAAAUGACCCCGUAACUUCGGGAGAAGGGGUGCUCUUUAGGGUUAACGCCCAGAAGAGCCGCAGUGAAUAGGCCCAAGCGACUGUUUAUCAAAAACACAGGUCUCUGCUAAACCGUAAGGUGAUGUAUAGGGGCUGACGCCUGCCCGGUGCUGGAAGGUUAAGAGGAGUGGUUAGCUUCUGCGAAGCUACGAAUCGAAGCCCCAGUAAACGGCGGCCGUAACUAUAACGGUCCUAAGGUAGCGAAAUUCCUUGUCGGGUAAGUUCCGACCCGCACGAAAGGCGUAACGAUUUGGGCACUGUCUCAACGAGAGACUCGGUGAAAUCAUAGUACCUGUGAAGAUGAAGGUUACCCGCGACCGGACGGAAAGACCCCGUGGAGCUUUACUGUAGCCUGAUAUUGAAAUUCGGCACAGCUUGUACAGGAUAGGUAGGAGCCUUUGAAACGUGAGCGCUAGCUUACGUGGAGGCGCUGGUGGGAUACUACCCUAGCUGUGUUGGCUUUCUAACCCGCACCACUUAUCGUGGUGGGAGACAGUGUCAGGCGGGCAGUUUGACUGGGGCGGUCGCCUCCUAAAAGGUAACGGAGGCGCUCAAAGGUUCCCUCAGAAUGGUUGGAAAUCAUUCAUAGAGUGUAAAGGCAUAAGGGAGCUUGACUGCGAGACCUACAAGGCGAGCAGGGUCGAAAGACGGACUUAGUGAUCCGGUGGUUCCGCAUGGAAGGGCCAUCGCUCAACGGAUAAAAGCUACCCCGGGGAUAACAGGCUUAUCUCCCCCAAGAGUUCACAUCGACGGGGAGGUUUGGCACC